rnacentral:rRNA from 1 species
UACGUGGGGUGCAAGCGUUGUCCGGAAUUAUUGGGCGUAAAGAGCUUGUAGGCGGUUUGUCGCGUCUGCUGUGAAAUUUCGGGGCUCAACCCCGAACUUGCAGUGGGUACGGGCAGACUAGAGUGUGGUAGGGGAGACUGGAAUUCCUGGUGUAGCGGUGAAAUGCGCAGAUAUCAGGAGGAACACCGAUGGCGAAGGCAGGUCUCUGGGCCACUACUGACGCUGAGAAGCGAAAGCAUGGGGAGCGAACAGG